UACAGAGGUCUCAAGCGUUGUUCGGAUUCAUUGGGCGUAAAGCGCUUUAAGGCGGUUCGCUAAGUCGCGUGUGAAACCUCCAGGCUCAACCUGGAGACGCCACGCGAUACUGGCGUGACUAGAGUUCGGUAGGGGAUCACGGAAUUCCUGGUGUAGCGGUGAAAUGCGUAGAUAUCUGGAGGAACACCGGUGGCGAAGGCGGCAUCCUGGACCGGCAUUGACGCUGAGGAGCGAAAGCCAGGGGAGCAAACGGG
rnacentral:rRNA from 1 species